AGGUCACCAGGACCUAUUUCUUGGAUAAAUAAGCCAUUGGUCUCUUUCAUGGUUCCAACUUUUAGGGGACCUGGAGCAGUUGCUGAACAUUGCCUAAGGUGGGCCAGUGAGUUACAUGACUGAAUCUAAAAGACCUAUGAGUAUUGAGUUUCUCAAUGAAAAUGGAAAAGUUUGCAUCUUUCAGUUAUAAAUGCCUGUACUUGCUAGUUUUGUGUCAACUU
rnacentral:lncRNA from 1 species